rnacentral:rRNA from 1 species
AAUCCAUAGGUUAAUGAGGCGAACCGGGGGAACUGAAACAUCUAAGUACCCCGAGGAAAAGAAAUCAACCGAGAUUCCCCCAGUAGCGGCGAGCGAACGGGGAGGAGCCCAGAGCCUGAAUCAGCAUGUGUGUUAGUGGAAGCGUCUGGAAAGGCGCGCGAUACAGGGUGACAGCCCCGUACACAAAAGCGCAUGUGCUGUGAGCUCGAUGAGUAGGGCGGGACACGUGGUAUCCUGUCUGAAUAUGGGGGGACCAUCCUCCAAGGCUAAAUACUCCUGACUGACCGAUAGUGAACCAGUACCGUGAGGGAAAGGCGAAAAGAACCCCGGCGAGGGGAGUGAAAAAGAACCUGAAACCGUGUACGUACAAGCAGUGGGAGCACCCUUUGGGUGUGACUGCGUACCUUUUGUAUAAUGGGUCAGCGACUUAUAUUCUGUAGCAAGGUUAACCGAAUAGGGGAGCCGGAGGGAAACCGAGUCUUAACCGGGCGUUAAGUUGCAGGGUAUAGACCCGAAACCCGGUGAUCUAGCCAUGGGCAGGUUGAAGGUUGGGUAACACUAACUGGAGGACCGAACCGACUAAUGUUGAAAAAUUAGCGGAUGACCUGUGGCUGGGGGUGAAAGGCCAAUCAAACCGGGAGAUAGCUGGUUCUCCCCGAAAGCUAUUUAGGUAGCGCCUCGUGAAUUCAUCUCCGGGGGUAGAGCACUGUUUCGGCUAGGGGGCCAUCCCGGCUUACCAACCCGAUGCAAACUGCGAAUACCGGAGAAUGUUAUCACGGGAGACACACGGCGGGUGCUAACGUCCGUCGUGAAGAGGGAAACAACCCAGACCGCCAGCUAAGGUCCCAAAGUCAUGGUUAAGUGGGAAACGAUGUGGGAAGGCCCAGACAGCCAGGAUGUUGGCUUAGAAGCAGCCAUCAUUUAAAGAAAGCGUAAUAGCUCACUGGUCGAGUCGGCCUGCGCGGAAGAUGUAACGGGGCUAAACCAUGCACCGAAGCUGCGGCAGCGACACUGUGUGUUGUUGGGUAGGGGAGCGUUCUGUAAGCCUGUGAAGGUGUGUCGUGAGGCAUGCUGGAGGUAUCAGAAGUGCGAAUGCUGACAUAAGUAACGAUAAAGCGGGUGAAAAGCCCGCUCGCCGGAAGACCAAGGGUUCCUGUCCAACGUUAAUCGGGGCAGGGUGAGUCGACCCCUAAGGCGAGGCCGAAAGGCGUAGUCGAUGGGAAACGGGUUAAUAUUCCCGUACUUGGUGUUACUGCGAAGGGGGGACGGAGAAGGCUAUGUUGGCCGGGCGACGGUUGUCCCGGUUUAAGCGUGUAGGUGUGUGUUCCAGGUAAAUCCGGUUCACUUUAACACUGAGGCGUGACGACGAGGCACUACGGUGCUGAAGCAACAAAUGCCCUGCUUCCAGGAAAAGCCUCUAAGCAUCAGGUAACAUCAAAUCGUACCCCAAACCGACACAGGUGGUCAGGUAGAGAAUACCAAGGCGCUUGAGAGAACUCGGGUGAAGGAACUAGGCAAAAUGGUGCCGUAACUUCGGGAGAAGGCACGCUGACACGUAGGUGAAGUGAUUUACUCAUGGAGCUGAAGUCAGUCGAAGAUACCAGCUGGCUGCAACUGUUUAUUAAAAACACAGCACUGUGCAAACACGAAAGUGGACGUAUACGGUGUGACGCCUGCCCGGUGCCGGAAGGUUAAUUGAUGGGGUCAGCGCAAGCGAAGCUCCUGAUCGAAGCCCCGGUAAACGGCGGCCGUAACUAUAACGGUCCUAAGGUAGCGAAAUUCCUUGUCGGGUAAGUUCCGACCUGCACGAAUGGCGUAAUGAUGGCCAGGCUGUCUCCACCCGAGACUCAGUGAAAUUGAACUCGCUGUGAAGAUGCAGUGUACCCGCGGCAAGACGGAAAGACCCCGUGAACCUUUACUAUAGCUUGACACUGAACAUUGAGCCUUGAUGUGUAGGAUAGGUGGGAGGCUUUGAAGUGUGGACGCCAGUCUGCAUGGAGCCGACCUUGAAAUACCACCCUUUAAUGUUUGAUGUUCUAACGUGGACCCGUUACCCGGGUUGCGGACAGUGUCUGGUGGGUAGUUUGACUGGGGCGGUCUCCUCCUAAAGAGUAACGGAGGAGCACGAAGGUUGGCUAAUCCUGGUCGGACAUCAGGAGGUUAGUGCAAUGGCAUAAGCCAGCUUGACUGCGAGCGUGACGGCGCGAGCAGGUGCGAAAGCAGGUCAUAGUGAUCCGGUGGUUCUGAAUGGAAGGGCCAUCGCUCAACGGAUAAAAGGUACUCCGGGGAUAACAGGCUGAUACCGCCCAAGAGUUCAUAUCGACGGCGGUGUUUGGCACCUCGAUGUCGGCUCAUCACAUCCUGGGGCUGAAGUAGGUCCCAAGGGUAUGGCUGUUCGCCAUUUAAAGUGGUACGCGAGCUGGGUUUAGAACGUCGUGAGACAGUUCGGUCCCUAUCUGCCGUGGGCGCUGGAGAACUGAGGGGGGCUGCUCCUAGUACGAGAGGACCGGAGUGGACGCAUCACUGGUGUUCGGGUUGUCAUGCCAAUGGCACUGCCCGGUAGCUAAAUGCGGAAGAGAUAAGUGCUGAAAGCAUCUAAGCACGAAACUUGCCCCGAGAUG